rnacentral:rRNA from 1 species
UAGAAGCAGCCAUCAUUUAAAGAGUGCGUAAUAGCUCACUAGUCGAGUGACACUGCGCCGAAAAUGUACCGGGGCUAAACAUAUUACCGAAGCUGUGGAUUGUCCUUUGGACAAUGGUAGGAGAGCGUUCUAAGGGCGUUGAAGCAUGAUCGUAAGGACAUGUGGAGCGCUUAGAAGUGAGAAUGCCGGUGUGAGUAGCGAAAGACGGGUGAGAAUCCCGUCCACCGAUUGACUAAGGUUUCCAGAGGAAGGCUCGUCCGCUCUGGGUUAGUCGGGUCCUAAGCUGAGGCCGACAGGCGUAGGCGAUGGAUAACAGGUUGAUAUUCCUGUACCACCUAUAAUCGUUUUAAUCGAUGGGGGGACGCAGUAGGAUAGGCG